CAACAGCAGUAACACUGAAAGAGCUAGCACUUACCUACAAACACCAGAGCACUCGGAUGAGCAUGGUUUCAGCUCUAAUCAUAAUUUUUGUCUGCAGAUCUGAAAACCUGGCCUCUCUGUGCUGGCAGGAUGAUAUGGAUGUGUAUCCGGAGAUCAGCUGCAGCCAUCAGCUUGACUUCAGCCUAAAACCAGAGGAGAUCUGGCCUCGUGAAUGAGUUUCCAACCACCUUUCUGCCUCAGGCUGGCUUUUCCCUGAAUUUGAAAGUCCACCCCCGUGCUCUUCUCUGUUUUGAGCACUGUCCCCUGUCGGGUUGGAUACGACCCACCUGCCUUUGCUGCCGCUCAGCUCUGCAUCUUGUCUCCUUGCAGAAAUCCCGGAAGGAAUGUGGAGGGUUGAAUGAACUCUACGUGCUGGCAACGCUGCAGCCACCUGCAAACAGCAAAACAUCCCCGAGUGGAGACCUCAUGCUCUUUUUCCUACUUGCCUUCCCUUCCUUCAAAAGGAGCGUUUUGCUGCCCUCUCCUGUGCAAAGACAGGCAGAAAAGGCACUGGACUGUUUGUAAAUAUGCUUUCAGGUCUCUGGGUGGAGAGGGAAAAAUUGCAGUGCAAUGUUUGAGGGCUCCACCGGACGCCACAGCAGCCAAAAGAGGCUGCUCAGGGCACUCUCACCUUUGCCAGCAUCCCCAGGCCGGCUGGGCUGACACACUCAUCCUACCUGGUGCAGUGGCACACAACAAAGCUGGAACCUGGCAGCGCCAAUGUACAGCCGGGACAUGACUGCACCUACCAAACUCACUUUUGAGUGGAAAAAUCCAGCUUUCUCUGGCUGUAACAAAUGAUGCGAUAAAGCUGUUCCCUAGAUGCCUGCCCCUGCUGUGCUCUGAGAAUGAGACUGAAGCAUCAUAUUGAUUUGAGAAAAGGCCAGAUAAGGGUUUUAUCUGGGAUGUCUCAGUCUGAGAGGAGAAACUGAAGCAUGUUUCUGUCUGGACAUCCCACCCUGGUCUUCAGGGGCUGCCUGCCUGGAUCCUCAACCAGCUUGCACUGUUAUCAGCCCUGCCUUGCUAUCGCGUUCCUUAGGUGACAAUCUCUUUCAACUGCAAGAGAAGAAAAAAGAAAUCGCUUAUCAGUUCAAACCUGUCGCAUCAUGCCUCUGUUCAAGGGACUUCCCAUUGCUUUAGUGAUUCCAGUAGUAAGGGACAUUGCAAUGAUGCACCCUGAGGACAUUCAGCUUGUAUUAAACAUUAGGUGGUGAAUGACUGGGAGACUGAGGCUCUCCAAAAGGUCUCUAGGAAAAACAUGAGGAUUUGUCUAGGUGCUGACAGAUGCUGCUGCACCUGUGACAUCUGGACUCUGGCAGCAGAAUGAGAAACUCCAGGGAAAGGUGGACAAAUGCGGGAAAAUGACCCUGUUGUAAGAGCCAAAUUACUGCCCUCCAGCACUGGAGAUGAUCUGGGUGUCUGCAGAGAUAUCAGGUAUUAAACACAAGAUCGGUCUGGCCACAAGUAUCAAACAAGCCACAGAAAUUUACAGAGUUCUUAAUAAGCCCAUGCAUGGGCUUUAUGUGGCAAGGUUUUUGUAGUGGGGAAACUGCAGGGGUGGCUUCUAUGAGAAGAUGCUGCCCCCUUGUUGAACAGAGUCGUUUCUAGCCAGCUGCAAGACAGACCCACUGCUGGCCAAAGCUGAGCCCAUCAGCGAUAUUGGUAGCGCCUCUGUAAUAACAUAUUUAAGAAGGGGUGGGGUGGGGGGGGGAACCCACUUUGCAACAGCAAGCAGAAGA
ensembl:lncRNA